UGUUCCUCGUGAGCGCACGUCGCUGGACUGCGUGAGCUCGUGCAGGUCACAACUCCUGGAAGCGGGGCGGCGGAGGUGGGAGGCCCUACGAACGCACGUCAUCCUCCUCCCGACUCCCAGGAACAAGUGACGCCGGCGAGGACGCUCCGCUCGUGCGGAUUGGCUGUGUCACAAGCCUCCUCGAGCGGCCCAAGUGCGGCUUGCUGUGUCGAAGCCCCUCUCCACCUCGCUCAGGACUGGUGGGUGUGCCUGUUUACCGACAAGGAACAGAGGCCAACCUACAGAAAUAACCAAGAAUGCAGUGGAAGAGGAAAAUAAAUAAUAUUGAUGUGAAUGUAGUGGAUACUGCUGGAAGAUUGCAGAAUAUACACAUUGGACGCCAGAAAUCAACAAAAAGAGUGAGAUUAUGAAAUACCUUCAGAUAAAGUGGUCAAAUGUGAUUGUCUAUUUGCAGCACGCCGAGGAUUGGUAUCUCCAGGAUCUAUUAACCAGAUUGGAUAUGUAAUAUAGAUGAGGAGAAUGAUGUUGUAUUAGGCCUAAGAAUUGUAUUGAUUAGUACGAAACCUGAAUUUUCGUUUUGCAUCUUCUGGGUGCGGUCGUGGUCUGGACUUGGCGAUGCAGGGUUGUCGCGGCAGGGAUGCGUUGAUGUGUGGAGGCUCGCGUGCUGGACGAUCUCCUGCAGGUGGCUGUGUAUGCCGUCGUGGUAUGCAGUCGUCGUCUGGACCUGCGUGAUGCAGGUUUGGCACGGCUGGGAUGCGAUGAUGUGUGGAUCUGGCGUGGGAGGAUGGCCUGGUGUAGUCUGUUUGAGGUAGGAGAUUAUGGGUAAGUUAAGUUUGUUCCGGAAUUGGUGGCUGGAGAUUAUGCGUUUGAGGUAGGAGAUUAUGGAAUAUACACAUUGGACGCCGUAAAUCAACAAAAAGAGUGAGAUUAUGAAAUACCUUCGGAUAAAGUGGUCAAAUGUGAUUGUCUAUUUGCAGCACGCCGAGGAUUGGUAUCUCCAGGAUCUAUUAACCAGAUUGGAUAUGUAAUAUAGAUGAGGAGAAUGAUGUUGUAUUAGGCCUAAGAAUUGUAUUGAUUAGUACGAAACCUGAAUUUUCGUUUUGCA